AGGACAAAAUAAUGUCUCUCAGGAAAAUAUGGUGAUAACUGAAACAAGACAGAGCGUUCAAAUGAUCCGAACAAUAAAGUCAUGAUUUUCAGCACACUAAAAAGGCAACAACAGGUUUAUGACUGAAACAAGGGUAAAUCCUAGAAGACCAGGACCUCUGUUAUCUAAAUAGAAGAAGAAAAGGGCCUUAAGAGCCCUUUCACGCAUAUGUUGCACCGGUCACGUUAUCCAAUGCAUCUAACAAUGAGCUUUCUGGAAACUUGAUGGUGUUUAGGAAAUUAUACAAUAUUACAAGCCGAAUGAUGCAAGAAUGCUCAGUGCAGCUCGGAGAUAACUAACAGUAAGUUGCAAUUGUUCAUGCCGUUUUUAGGUACAAAAACAGUCAUCAGUUAAAUAGCAACACUCAUCAGACACGGGAAUUAAUCGUGAAGACCUCACUGCUAUGGUUAGUUAUUAGCCCCACUACCUCAUCUUUUGAUAAGACGAUUUAUGUUGUUUUUUGCUUGUGAUGCUAAUGCUUUGUUGCUUUGUCAUUUAUUCAUGCAACAGCUGAAUUUGCAUCGCUUCACAUGGAACUAAAAUCUGAUAAGUGGAAGGACCUAAACAUCACAACAUGGCCAAGGGAAGAGUGUAUUUAGAGCAGACUGCAGACAUAUGGGUACACCUUCCUACCUCUGAAUUUUUGUAUGUCCCCAUUAAUCGUAUUACAAAGGAGGUGUCCGCAAUUAAGAAUAGAGUAGUACAAAUGAGAGUAGAUGACAUCAUAGUUAAGGGUCUUCGUCAUCAGCACACUACUCAUCCAUCAUGUCAACCUACAAUAGCAAAGCACGUCUACAGGUUGUUUUGGCAGACUUUGAAUACUAGUCGAAGGCACGUGCUUUGCACGUGUGCGUUGUUGACUAAAAUUCUAGGCAAACAUGAAAACUUUAAAUAAAAAUGAAGCAGUUUUUAUAUGGAGUUUUAGCUUCGCAACCUCUUGCCGAGUUACAAUGUUGAUUAUUAUAUUUCCAAAACAUGUCAAGAGUAAUUUUGGUUAACACUUGACAAACUUAGAGUAAUAUUCUCAAAACAGUAAGUCACAUCAGGACCAAUUUUUUUUUCAAAAAGUAAUCAUCUGCAUGCAUUGUACUCCCUCCGUUCCUAAAUAUAAGUCUUUUUAGAGAUUUCACUAUGGACUACAUACGGAGCAAAAUGAGUGAAUCUACACUCUAAAAUAUGUUUAUAUACAUCCGUAUGUAGUUUGUAGUGGAAUCUCUAAAAAGACUUAUAUUUAGGAACGGAGGGAGUACUACAUAACUUGGACGUGGAUGGAAUAUAAUGCAUUCUACCAUGCAUAUCCAAUAUUUAGGAUCUCCCGCAAAAGAAAUUCCAAUGUUUAGGACUUCACAAAAAAAUGGGUAUGUGUCAUCGUAAAAUUUGUGAGGAUGGCCGUUCAGCUCAUCGACCUUCUGUUUUUUUAACAUACUGCUCGACCAUUUUUUUAAGGGAGACCCCUCGACCUUUUUGCGUCGUGCCUUAGGCUAAAAUGUGGUUUUGGGCCAACAGCGUAACACUCGGCUAUACGGGCCUGGAAACUUGCCACUGGGCCAGCUGUAUGGAGGCCCACUCAGAAACGCCAACACAGGUCAGUUCCCUGCCUCUAUGUCGAGCGGAAAAAGAAAAGAAUCUUCUCAAAAAAUAAACUGUCGAGCUGAGCAGCACUGCGCCGCCGCCCCUCCUCCUGUCUCUGGCCCCGCGGCCCGCCGAACGCCGACCCGAGGACCGCGAGGGCGUCGGGGAAGCGCACGACCCGGACAUCCUGCAAUCGUGCUCGGCUGCUCGCCUCGCCCAGCCCAAUCGUCAUUAGCAGCCACGGCCUCAAACAGCACACCCCGACAGGCGGCACACUUCAUGCUUACACGGCUCCUCCGCUAUUGCACCGGUGAGUAGCACCGACCGUAGCAUCACUGCAUCAACAUACGGUGGUCAGCAGGCAGCAGCACCGUUCCAAAAAUAAAGAACAAGUCUGGUGAUUGAAACAUGUGUGCACCCAUUCCUUGCUUACAAAAGAAAUCCCGGACGGAGGGAGUAGAAGCUACACUAUCUAUGCUGAUGUUUGUAAAUUUCCUUCUUGGUUUAUCUCCUGUGUAAGUUCCUGCAAAUUGGUAGAGGGCGCAGUGUGCUAACUCAUGGUCUUACUGCCCAGGCGCAUCAGAUCACUAUUAGUAAUCUAUGGAUGGGGCAUGUCCCUCCAGUGUUGAGUUGGCUUGUAAUGACUCUGUAACUCUGAUUCCCUAUGAGUAUUCAGAAAAGGAAGGAAACUGACCUAUGCCCA